AGUGAACGCUGGCGGUAGGCCUAACACAUGCAAGUCGAACGGCAGCACAGUAAGAUCUUGCUCCUACGGGUGGCGAGUGUCGGACGGGUGAUAAAUACAUCGGAAUCUACUUUUUCGUGGGGGAUUUCGUAGAGAAACUUACGCUAAUACCGCAUAUGACCUACGGUUGAAAGCAGACGAUCUUCGGACCUUGCGCGCUUGAAUUAGCCGGUGCCGGAUUAGCUAGUUGGCGGGGUAAAGGCCCACCAAGUCGACGAUCCGUAGCUGGUCCGAGAGGGUGAUCAGCGACACGGAAGAUGAGAAACGGGCCAGAUACCUAAGGGGGGCAGCAGUGGGGAGUAUUGGAGAAUGGGGGCAAGCGUGAGCCAGCCAAACGGCGUGGGUGAAGAAGGCCUUCGGGUUGUAAAGCCAGUUUGUUGGGAAAGAAAAGCAGGAGGUUAAGACCCCGCUGUUAUGAAGGUACCCAAAGGAUAAGCACCGGAGAACUUCGU
rnacentral:rRNA from 1 species